CUCCUCCGACAGCCUGGGUCCUGGCAUAAGAUUGAUAUAGAGCAGAGCUGCAUCUGGACCUUGAUGGACACUGUUCUGAACAAGAAAUGCAUUUGGAGUUAUAAGCAACUGCGAUGUUGGAGUCUUUUAUUACUACCGCACAGCAUAACCUAGGCUGAUUGAUCCAAGAGUUCACAUGGCUGGAAAGAGUCCAGCAUAAGCGGUGAUGGCACAAGUUCUGGAAUCAGGUUGAUGGAGUUCAUCAUAUUCUGGCUCAGUCACUUUCUAGCUGUGUGACCUUGAGCAAGAACCCAUCCACCCAACCAUGGUGAGAGACCCACGUGGAGAGGACUGGGGGCUCCUUGCCCUUGGCCGUGCCCGAGCUCUCGGCUGGCCGCCAGCACCAACUGGCCAGCCAUGCAGUGGCACCUCCUGAAAGUGGCUCCUCCAGCCCCAGUGAAGCGGCCCCAGCUGACGCAACGUGGACAGAUGUGAGCCUUCUCUGUUGAUUGCUGACUGAGCUCAAAAUUCGUGAACUAAAACUUUGGCACGACUGGUUUGUGGGCAGAGGUGACAGACCUGUCGGUUCCGUCUCUCCAGGCUGCCCAGGCUGAAGGCGUGAUCUCUUGGCACAUCUGUAUCUCAACAGCUCUGUACCAAAGUGCUGUGGCAGGCGGCAACGUUGGGGAUCUUCAAACCUUGACAGGAGGACACGGUAAGAAAUUCACUUUUAUAUUGUCAUUAGCACAACCAUUUACAUCUAAAACAGUAGUUCCCAGGUGAGGUGAUUCUGUGCCCUGGAGCACUUUGAACAGUGUCUGGAGAGAUUUUUGUCUGUCAUAACUGAAGAAGGGGUGCCAGUGUCAUCUAGUCGGUAAAAAACAGGUGGGGCUGUCAUAACAGAGCAUCACAGCCUUGGUGGUCUGACCAUCUGCAAGUUAUUUCCUCACAGUUCUCGGGGCUAAGAAGCCCAAGAUC